UCUGGUAAUGGUCUUGGUUAGCCCGGAGACAAGCUGAUGCAUUGCGCUUUGUGUCGGAGGCAGGAGGACGGAUUUGGCUCUGAUUAUUUUGCAAGAUUAGAUACAAAUGACCGCUUAGAGGCUUUUGUGGGUUUUUUUCAGCUAGAAGCAGAAUUGCAGAAAGGUUUUGUACGGAGCUGGGGGAACUCUAAAGCCUUCCUUCCCAUCAUCCCCAUCAUCAAAACCAGCAGCUUUUAGCAUUGCGAUAUUUUGAUAUUCCUGUCAGCUGCUUCUGCUGCAGUCUUUGGACCCCUUUUCUCCUUUGGCUCCUCUCUGCUAAAUUUUCUAAAAAUUCUUCUGAGGGGGAAGCAAGGCAGACAGGAUAAAAAUGAAGGAUUAUCCCCUGAAAUGCAUUUCAGACGCAGAAAUGCAGCCUGGCAGCACCAGAGACCCGUGUGGCAGCAGGCAGGGAUGCGGGCACGUUGGAUGUGGAUGCGGCACCAGCUGGUGUGGGAUCAGCCCGAGUUCCCUGGGCGAUGAAAGCUGUGGGACUGGCUGCAAGCAGCAGUGUCUCGUUUCCUCCUGCUGCCACCCUCCUGCAGACCUGAGCAGUCUCCUUCUCCUGGGCAAGGAGCAUGACAGCACCAGGCAGCCCAAGCCUGGCAGCCCAGAGACCCCAUAGUGGCCUGGGCAGAGUCUGGGUGUUGGUGUUGGCCACAGGCACCCUGCUCUAAAGCAGCUGUGAGCUCCCUUUGCUCUCCCCGAGUGCUGGAGCCAUAAAGGAAACAUUUCUGAGGCAAGCAGCGAGAUCAGGCUCAGAUCUGAGGAGAAGGAGAAGAAUUUCCUGCUUUACACUGUGGCUGCACCUUGGGGCAGGCCAGGGCUUGUGCCCCUGAGCAAGCAGGCAUAGUCUACCUAUUCCCCAUUCUUAAACUGGAAGGAAACCCAGAGAGGUGCCAAGGCCAGUAUCAGCUGCAUAUCUAGAAGCUGCUGUGGAGAAAGGAUUGUCCUGAGCUGGAAGGUGGAACAGAAUUAAGGAUGAAUCUUCAGAGGAGCUUGCUGUGGAGCGAGGGAGCAGCUUGCAGCCUGUGUGGGCUGGUUGUGGUGGAGCUCUUGGCUCAUCCCGACCUCACCCCACAGUCUUGCUCCAAGCCAUUGACUUCCUCCCUUCCCUCUGUGUCAUGGGCUUGGUGGGAUGGCCUGGCGUGGCCCUGCUGUUCCUGUGGUUGGCUGAUGAGGUGGGGAAAUGGCAGGGGCUGCAGGAAGGGAUUAGUGAGGGUGUAAGAACCACUCAUUGGCAGCUGGGCAAAUCAGCUCAAGGAGAGGUGACACACACAGUAUGCUGAUGCUUUUCUAUCACAAUAUUUGUACUGUAAGCAGUAGGAAAACAGCAGCUUCUCCCCCUUUGCCACCUGCUUCCAGGCUGAUGACCUUCUCAGGAAGAUGCUGAUGAACAUGAAAAA